GAGUCCUGCAGCUAUUAUCAAGCAUGGUGGUAUUUCUGUUUCCAGAGAAAACUCUGCUAAGAUGUUGUCUCAAGCCCAGGAGCCUGAUUCACUGCUGUGCUCUGACCAUAUUAUAACGUCUCCCUCUGUACUGGUUCAGCUGUCUUGACGCUUAGCCAGAGGCCCAUGGAGUGUCAUUUUAUAAUACACUGAGUUGCCAAAGCAGUGUGCCCGCCUAAUCCAGCUGCUAUAAACACAGAGCAUGAGCCAACAUAAGAUGUACAAAACAUCUCAAGCCUGGACAGCUAGCUUCACGAAGGGAGAUGUGGUGCAGUGCCACUGAAAUUGCAAAUCUCCAAAGGAGGUUCUUCCUUGGGAGGUGAACAUUUGUCCCAAAGUUGUUUCUGGAUUGCUGGAGCACUGAAUAUAUUCGAAAACAGUAACUGUCACCUUUUCUCCACACUGUUUUUAGAUAAAAAUAUCAUCA